rnacentral:rRNA from 1 species
UGCAAGUCGAACGAUGAUCCCAGCUUGCUGGGGGAUUAGUGGCGAACGGGUGAGUGACACGUGAGUAACCUGCCCUUGACUCUGGGAUAAGCCUGGGAAACUGGGUCUAAUACCGGAUACGACCAUCUGGCGCAUGUCAUGGUGGUGGAAAGCUUUUGUGGUUUUGGAUGGACUCGCGGCCUAUCAGCUUGUUGGUGGGGUAAUGGCCUACCAAGGCGACGACGGGUAGCCGGCCUGAGAGGGUGACCGGCCACACUGGGACUGAGACACGGCCCAAACUCCUACGGGAGGCAGCAGUAGGGAAUUUUCGGCAAUGGAGGAAACUCUGACCGAGCAACGCCGCGUGAAUGAAGACAUAUUUCGGUAUGUAAAGUUCUUUUAUUAGGGAAGAAUAGCCCAUGGAAAAAUGGGUGUGACGGUACCUAAUGAAUAAGCCCCGGCUAACUAUGUGCCAGCAGCCGCGGUAAUACAUAGGGGGCAAGCGUUAAUCGGAAUUACUGGGCGUAAAGCGCGCGUAGGCGGCUUGGUAAGUUGGAUGUGAAAGCCCCGGGCUCAACCUGGGAACUGCAUCCAGAACUGCCUAGCUAGAGUAUGGUAGAGGAUGGCGGAAUUUCCUGUGUAGCGGUGAAAUGCGUAGAUAUAGGAAGGAACAUCAGUGGCGAA